AUGACAAAGAAGAAUAAUACAUAUUAUCUGCUGGAUGGGGAGGAAGAGCCUACGAGGUCUAUACAUGGCAACUGUAUUGGCAAGGUGAUGUUCCUAACGGCCGUUGCUAGGCCAAGGUGGGACAGUGAAGGAAACGUGACCUUCUCUGGGAAAAUAGGUAUCUGGCCAUUUGUGAAAGAAGUUCCUGCUCAGAGGAGAAGCGACAACAGGCCCAGAGGUACAAUAGAGACAAAGUCAAUAAAGGUCAACAGAAAAGUGAUGAGGGAGUUCCUGAUAGAGAAGGUCUUGCCAGCGAUACAAGCUCUUUGGCCGGAAAGUGAUGCUGGACAGACCAUCUACAUUCAGCAGGAUAAUGCUAAGCCCCAUAUCUUGCCAGAUGACCCAGAAUUUCUAGAAGCCGUCGCAAAAACUGGACUUGACAUCAGAAUAAUACAACAACUUGCCAACAGUCCUGAUUUGAAUGUGCUUGACCUUGGGUUUUUCAACUCGCUGCAAUCCCUGACAGAUUGUCUGAGUCCUAAAACACUACAAGACCUUAUUAAGGGUGUUUUGGAGGAAUUUGAAGGCUACGAGGUUUACAAGCUCAACAUAAUUUUCCUAACUCUGCAGACAUGCAUGAUUGAGAUCCUGAACCAUGCAGGGGGCAAACCAAUUAAUGCGAUGCCUACAAAUCACGGCUCCAACAACAAUAUUCCAAGGACUACCAUUGAUCCUGAUUCCACCAUUACACAGGAAAACCAAAAAAAAAGUGCAGGUAACAGCAAAAAUGUAGAGUAA
rnacentral:rRNA from 1 species